rnacentral:rRNA from 1 species
UACGUAGGGAGCUAGCGUUGUUCGGAAUUACUGGGCGUAAAGCGCACGUAGGCGGCUUUGUAAGUUAGAGGUGAAAGCCUGGGGCUCAACCCCAGAAUUGCCUUUGAUACUGCAUGGCUUGAAUCCAGGAGAGGUGAGUGGAAUUCCGAGUGUAGAGGUGAAAUUCGUAGAUAUUCGGAAGAACACCAGUGGCGAAGGCGGCUCACUGGACUGGUAUUGACGCUGAGGUGCGAAAGCGUGGGGAGCAAACAGG